CUUGAUUAGCAUGAAUACUGUCAACCAAUAUUUGUGAAUCACUUUCAAAUAUGAUCUUAUCCCAUCCAUUUUGCACAGCAAAUGAAAUUGCUUCUAGGAAAGUCAUUCCUUCUCCUUCAAUGGUGGAUAGCUUGGCAUUUAUCCAUUUAGUUUGUGCCUUCAAAAACUCACCUGAUGCAUUCCUGAAACAUGCCAAAGAUGUAAUACUUUCUUCCAUAAAAAAACCAGCAUCAAUGUUGCAUUUGAUCCACCCUUGAGCGGGUUUUUGCCAUGUGGAAUUGUUUUGUAAUGUGUUGCUAUUUCUGCUGGGCUGUUUCCUUUGUUGUGCAUCAAACCAAUCCUUCCACAUGCUAAAGGCUUG
rnacentral:lncRNA from 1 species